rnacentral:misc_RNA from 1 species
GACCUUUUGAGGUGCACGCUAAUCAAGCGUAGUCAGGCAUUACUUUUUUAAGGAAUGUGAUUGGCUUGGCUUCUUCGGGGACAAUUUCAUCAAAUGGAACAUAAUUCCGCUCCUUAUCAUAGACAUGACAUACUGUCAGUAUUGUCUUCAUUAGACGCCAGUUCCAUGAAGCCUCGUUAAGGUACUUUCCCCAAUUCUCUUGGAGAGAUUGAUGAGCUGCCCGUAAAUUAUAACUUGGUAUUCUGGGGGAUAUGUGGUGGGGAAUAUGAACAUUGAUAUCAUGACAAAGAACCUCAAUCCAACUAGGAUAGUCACAGUGAACUGUGCCAUUCAGCUGGGCCUGAGCAGCAUUCCACUCAUCAGAAGUUUUGAAGGGUAUGUGGGGAGCCGUAUGAUGAACCAUUGUAAAAG